CCUAAUUCAGUAGCAUGAUCGAUUGAGGACUCGAAAAGGAGGGCGUUGUAGGUGGUGGUGAUGAUACUAACUUUGACACCAUGACUAGCAAAAAGUCUAGCAAUAUCAACUAAAGGGAUCAUAUGACUUGGUGUGAAAUAUGGAAUGAAAACUACAUGGAGUAGUUCACCAUUUUUUUGUGCCAUGACCUUACUUGAAGAAGGGAUGGAAAUUCACUUAACAACUUAAAAUGUUACUAACUUAAUAUUAGAUUCAGACAUAUUACAGAUAGCCUAAAAAAGUCAUGAAAAAGCCAUUAAAAUACUAAGUAUGUUUCUUCAAGGAAUCUUAUCUUGGAUUAUUAUUAUAUUCAAUCAGUACACUGAGUGGUACUCCCUAUGUUAUCUUUCUGCAGAGCAGUUGAAAGCAAGUAAGGGUGUGCAUUGAUCGGUUCGGUUCGGUUUAGUUUUAAUGUAUUAUUGGUUUGGUUUAUUGAUUUUGGUUUUUAAAUAUGUUAAACCAAUAAGAUAUUUUUUAUUGAUUUCAAUUUAUCGAUUUUGGUCCUUAACGGUUCGGUUUUUAGUUUAAUCAAUAAGAAAAUGCUUAUAAAACAAAUAUUAUGACUUCUCCAACGUCAAUUUGACGUGACAAGACAAUAAUGUAACUUUAUAGAACGCUCAUAAGAUAGAAACAAUAAUAACUAACAUGAAAAGAACUAUACAAGUGCAACACAAAGAGAAAUUAAGAGGAAUAGAGUUCUUACUUUAGGUUUUGACAUUUUGUAUAAUGUGAAAUUGUGAACUCAAAGUUAGUCUGAAGUGUGAAUUGAAGGCUAAAGGACAAAGAUAGUAACCAAUACUGAGAUAAAUAGUUAAUAGUGUUGCUUGUCAUGAGCAUUAUUUCAGUUUUUACUUGUGAUUCAUAAGACAAAAGCAAUAAAAUCACUCAACUUAGCACAUUCCCUUAUAAAAUUGUUCAACUACGUAGAUUAUAAAAAGCCUGACAUGACAAAAUAUAUUAUUUUUCAUGUCAGGGAAACAUGGACUCCAUUAGAGCUAGGCCUGAAUGCUAAAAUUAGAAAUAUCGGAUCGAACCGAAUUAAUUCGAUUCUUUGGUUCUUCGGUUGGGAAUGAUUUUUUUUUUCAAAAGCUCGGUUAAUCGGUUUAAGAGUUCCAGUUCUUCAAUGUGUCAAUUUUAUUCCCAGCUCUAUAGUUAUACAGGUUCACAUAGCUUCAUUUUCUUAUUUGGUAGAUCCCUUAUUUGAAAGUUGAAACACUCUUUAAGAGUUUUUUGUCUAUAAAAAGAUUGCUUGAAACAACAACAUACUCAGUGUAGUUCCACAAGUGAUGUCCGGGGAAAAGAUUGCUUGAAACAUAACAUGUUAUUUCGUUUUACCUUUUCUUGUGUUAUGUAAUGCACGCGAGGCAUGAUGCUAUUUUAGGAAAAAUAAGUAGAGCUCAGAAUGUUAAAUUUCUUACUACUCUUCUGAUAUGCCAAAAGCAUGACACUUGAUCUCCUGUAUUAAUGUUGUUAGAUGAUUAUAAGAAGAACCUCCUUUCUCCACAGCCCUGUUAAUCAUUGCUUCGACGUCUUUUGCUCUACUUUUGAUCAUUUCACUUUCCCCGGAGGUGUUCAUCAACGUCUUCAAACUCGCCUCUAUCUUCUCUUUAUUGACAAUCGUAUCCUUGAUGUCAAAAGUACUGUGCCACACCUCUGCCCCGACCCUGACUCCACAUCCAAGAACCUCCACCAGCUUCUCAUUGUAGAACUGCUCCGCGAACAAUGGCCAUGUCAGCAUUGGCACUCCGGCUGUAAGAGAUUCCAGGGUGGAAUUCCAGCCACAAUGAGUCAUGAACACCCCGGUUGCUGGAUGGUUCAAGAUCUUCAGCUGUGGCACCCAUCCUCUGACUAUCAAACCUUUCUUGUUUGUAAGCAUUUUUUCCUUGAAGCUAGAAGGCAUCCAGUUUUCUUGCCCGUUUACUUGGGGUUCGUCUCCCUUCCUUACCACCCAAAGAAACGAUGAAUUCGAUGCCUCAAGAGCCAAGGCAAUUUCAGUAAGCUGAGCAUCAGAGAACCUCCCCAUACUUCCGAAACAAAUGUACACAACAGAGUUUGGUUCUUGAGAAUCAAGCCAACUCAAGCAGCUGUGUCGUUCUUGAUGUUGAGUAUUUCUUGAAUUGUCUGCCUCUUCCCUCUUUGAAAAAUGAAACAAAGGACCAAUAAGCCACGGCUUUUUACCUUUGAUUUCUUGAUAAAGCUUAGCAUAACUCGGCUCUAGAUCAUAGAUAGUGUCGUGAAUCAUAGCGUAGCUCCGAGGUUCUGAUUCUUUAAUUCUCCUCAUCAGCUCCCAAUAUGGUCCUUCAGAUUUAGUUAUAAUAUUCUCUGGCAAUUGAGAUCUUUUCAUUUCUAUCUGAUCUGGUAAACCCGGAAUCAAGAAACUUUCUGAAUCCGAACUUACCUUCUCAUGAGGUGCAUACAAUUUCAAACAAUGUUCAACACAGUGGUACAUAACAUUAGUCGGAUAAAACAUAAGUCUAGGUAUCUUCAGUUGCUCUGCCACAUCCACAGUCCAUGGGAAAAACAUGUCUGAAACAAUGCAAUGAGGACGAAGCUCGAAAAUAAGACUUUCCAUUGGUUUUUGAAGCAGAGGAAUUCCCAUAAACACACUUAUAGCCAUUUCUUGGCUAGUGGCAUACACCUAUAGCCAUUUCUUUGCUAGUGACUGCACUGAAGUUUUCGAUCCCUUCUGGUAUGCCUACUUCAGCUGAUGGGAAUUUGAGUUUGUGGACGAAUAUUUCGUGGCCUAAUUCAGUAGCAUGAUCGAUUGAGGACUCGAAAAGGAGGGCGUUGUAGGGGGUGGUGAUGAUGCUAACUUUCACGCCAUGGCUAGCAAAAAGUCUAGCUAUAUCAACUAAAGGGAUCAUAUGACUUGGUGUGAAGUAUGGAAUGAAAACUACAUGAAGUAUUUCACCAUUUUUUUGUGCCAUGACUGAACUUGAAGA
rnacentral:lncRNA from 1 species